rnacentral:rRNA from 1 species
CUCGUAGGUGGUUUGUCGCGUUGUUCGUGAAAACUCACAGCUUAACUGUGGGCGUGCGGGCGAUACGGGCAGACUGGAGUACUGUAGGGGAGACUGGAAUUCCUGGUGUAGCGGUGGAAUGCGCAGAUAUCAGGAGGAACACCGGUGGCGAAGGCGGGUCUCUGGGCAGUAACUGACGCUGAGGAGCGAAAGCGUGGGGAGCGAACA